rnacentral:lncRNA from 1 species
CAAACAGCAAGAGGAUUUUUAUUCCGAGCGCGCUGGGGCCCACAGUCGUACGCCACGCAGGGGUAGAGGACUGCGGCCCCGAGUGUGGAGUCGGGACAGCUUUUAUGGGGUUCACAACAAAGCCCGCGCUUUUACGAACUAAUCAUUUUAAAAUAUCGCAAACCAGUCAAUUCAAAACUUCGAGAGCCCGCGCUUUGUGGACCAAUUAAUUUUAAGUUGUUCUGGAGUUACAUGUUUGUGCCUGUCUCUGGGUGGGGGAGACAUAUUGUCACCAAGAUAUAUUUAUCAGGAUUUUCAACAUUUUGUGGCACGCCCGAUCUUACUGGGGUCGGUUAGGCGAUUGACUUCUCCUCUUUUUAUCUUAUGCAAGCAGGUUUACAGAAGCCAAACAAGCAGUUAGGAGCAGUUUCAAGAAGUUUCAAGCAUAGAGGCACAUUCUCAGGGGCCUGUUUUUCCCCUUCCACAAAGUUUUGUACAGAGCAGAAAGCAAGCCCUAAAACAGCAAAAAGUAUGAUCUUUUACCUAUAGGGAACAGGGUCUGGAAUUCGAGGGCAUUUAGAGCUUCUUAUUAACUUCCUGGGUUCUGGGAGAGUCAGGUUGCAUUUUCAUCCUUUCAGCAUCUCCCUGAUCUUUCUUCUGUAUUCAUUUCUUCUGACCACAGCCGGAAAGACUCUCUGCUUUUAAGGUCUCCUGUGAUUAAACUGGGCCCAGAUAAUUCAGAAUAAUCCAGAUAAUCCAGAAUAAUUUUCCUAUUUCAAGGUCCUUGAGUUAACAAAAUCUGCAAAGUCUCUUUGCCAAAUAAGGCAAUAUGUUCACAGGUUCUGGGGAUUAGGAUGUGGGUAUCUUUGGGGAGGGGCAUUAUUCUGCCUACCAUGGGGAUGAAGAGAAAUGAAUUCCCAAAGGAAAGAAGCACUCCUACUAUACUGUUCUGUGUUAUGCGGGGUUCUUGGGAAAAUCCCCAAAUGUAGCCUGAAUUGGCUGGUUCUAGCCAAGUAGCAAAUUUUCAUUUCUUAUAGAAACAAUAUACUAGCAUAUCAUGACCACUGUUCAUAAGCAAGACAGGCCAGAGUCACUGAUAUUUAUAGGCAGCCUGUAAGAUAUUUUCAUGACUCAUUGAGUGAUAUCCACUAAUCCUUUGGUUAAAAAUUUGUCUUAUUUAUGAAUCGUGUUUCCUUACUUUUUCAACAUCCAUUUCUCAAUACACAGUCAAGGUAGGUAAGCUUGUCACUUUGAAUCUUUUUUUUGCUUUUUAGGGCUGCACCCUGCAGCAUAUGGAAGUUCCCAGGCUAGGGGUUGAAUCGGAGCUACAGCUGCUAGCCUACAUCAUAGCCAUAGCAAUGCCAGAUCUGAGCCGCGUCUGCAACCUACACCACAGUUCAUGGCAAUGCCGGGUCCUUAAUCCACUGAGCAAGGCCCAGGAUUGAACCACAUCCUCAUGGAUACUAGUCAGAUUCGUUCCCACUGUACCACAACAGGAACUCCCAAUGUCACUUUGAAUCUUAACGUAAAAAGAAAUUGUAAAAAUAUUUUUACCCGUGUCCUAGAAUUAAACCUCGUUGUCGCAAUUUCUCAGGGAGGAAUCACAAGUUCUUUGGCAAUGGAAGAUUCCUAUCUAUAAGAGGAAGACCAAAAGCACUACAGAUGAUACUUAGAUAUUUUGGGUACCUUGUAUAUAAGACCAGUUGAGGAAGAACAAAAAAUCAAACUUGGUUUACAGAUGGGCAAUAUGUACAAUAUGCUGGCACCAUUCGAAAAUGAGACAGCUGCAGUAUUGCAGCCCAUGCAGGGGGCGCCCUGCAGGACAAAGGUAAAGGAAAAGCCUUCCCACGGGCAGAAUUUUGACUGAUAGAUUUGGUUGUCUGUGUCUAGAGUGAGGGGUGGACCGAAGUAUGGAUCUAUCCUGUUUUGGGGCAGUUGCCGAUUGUUGGGCUGGUGAAUUUGGAGACUUGGAAGAAAUAGGACUGAGAGAUUGGUGACAAGCAGGUUUAGAGAGGAGGUGAUGUGGAAGGACCUCCAUGAAUAGGCACAAACUGUGAAGGUAUUUGUGUUCCACAUGAAAGCCCACCUGAGCGCAUCUACUGCAAUGAGGGUUAAUCAUCGGAUGGACACAAUGAUGCUCUGAGAUGUCAGUCACUUUCCCUAGUGGACCCCUGAGCAAAGUGGCUGCCGUGACUGGGAUGGAGGCUACACGUGGGCUCAGUACCAUGGACUUCUGCUAAUGAAGCCCGACUUGGCUAACACUCCUUCUGAGUGCCUAACCUACAGAUGGCAAAGGCCACCAUCACGUCCCAUUGGGUGGCUUCUCCAACACAUGACACCCAGCAGCCAGCAGUUGGCACCCCUUCACACAGUGAGCUACCUUCCCAUAAACAGCUUUAUCCAGCACCCUAGAUGAUGGAUUUCCAGCACUUUCCAAAGGACAGGUUUUCAGUAAGUUCGGCCAGCACAGUGCCACACAGACCUCCAUCAUCUCUGUGAGUCACUGCUAAGUGAUAUCAUAUGGUAUUUACCUUUCUCUUUCGGAUUGACUUCAUUUCGUAUGAGGGUCUCUAGUUCCAUCCACGUUGCUACAGAUGGCACUAUUUUGUUCUUUUUUAUGGCCGAAUAGUAUUCCAUUGUGUAUAUAUACCCCAUCUUCUUAAUCCAUUCAUCUGUUGAUGGACAUUUAGGUUGUUUCCAUAUCUUGGCUAUUGUGAAGAGUGACUUACAGGACGCGGGCAGCCGCCGGGAGACCCAUUUGGUCGGGUAGGGCGGCAGCUGCAGUGGACGACAGCCAGCGCCGCGAACAGCCGGGCUCCAGGAUCCCGACCGCGUUUUCCCGGCUUCCAAACAACCGCGUUCGCCCCGCCCU